UUCUAACCGUAAACGAUGACAACCAGCGAUUAAUCGGCGUUAAUAUAUGACCCGAUUAGCAGCUUCCGGGAAACCAAAGUUUUUCGUUUCCGGGGGAAGUAUGGUUGCAAAGCUGAAACUUAAAGGAAUUGACGGAAGGGCACCACCAGGAGUGGAGCCUGCGGCUUAAUUUGACUCAACACGGGAAAACUCACCCGGCCCGGACACCGUAAGGAUUGACAGACUGAGAGCUCUUUCUUAAUUCGGUGGGUGGUGGUGCAUGGCCGUUCUUAGUUGGUGGAGCGAUUUGUCUGGUUAAUUCCGAUAACGAACGAGACUCUGGCCUAUUAAAUAGACGAUAUAUUUAAAAGUAUAUCGCGCUUCUUAGAGGGACAAGCGGCGUCUAGCCGCAUGAAAUAGAGCAAUAACAGGUCUGUGAUGCCCUUAGAUGUCCGGGGCUGCACGCGCGCUACACUGAAAGAAUCAGUGGGCGUUCUACCUAGUUCGGAAGAACCGGGUAACCCAAGUAACUUCUUUCGUGCUUGGGGAUAGGGAAUUGCAAUUAUUUCCCUUAAACGAGGAAUUCCCAGUUAAAUUCGGGUCAUAAGCUCGAGUUG
rnacentral:rRNA from 1 species